AUGAGCAAAUCACUAGGUGUCAAGAUCAGCAAGUUGUCAAUCUAUGAAAAGGAAUUCAUGGCAGUGAUCAUGGCAAUUGAUAAGUGGCGAUGUUAUCUAGAGAGAGGCUUCACCAUUUUGACUGAUCACCAGAGCCUUUGUUCCUUAACCGAUCAACAUCUCGCCACUGAACUCCAAAAGAAGGCAAUGUCUAAGCUCCUGGGGUUGCAAUUCACAAUUAAGUAUCGCAAGGGAAGUGAGAAUAAUGCUGCAGAUUCCUUGUCAAGGGUAGCUCAUCUCCUCCAUCUCGAUGCCUUAUCCAUUUGCAGACUAGAUUGGGCACAAGAAAUUCUCAAUUCUUAUGAGGCGGAUCCGGAAGCAAUAGACUUACUCGCUCAAUUAGCAGUGAAGAGUCCGGAUGCCAGAGGUUAUUCCUUGGUUAAGGGGCUUAUUCGUUACAAUGGACGCCUCUAUAUUGGCAAUCAGUUGGCCUUACAGACCAAAUUGAUAAGUGCUUUACACGACAGCCCGGUGGGAGGACAUUCUGGUAUUCAUGCUAUGUACCAGCGAUUGUGUAAGGUUUUCUUUUGGCAUGGGCUUAAGAUUGCAGUGGAGGACUUUGUCAAACAAUGUCCAACUUGUCAGAAGUGCAAGAACGAGCAUAUACACCCAGCGGGUAAACUACAACCACUCCCUAUUCCUACCAAACCUUGGAAUGAUAUUACCAUGGACUUUGUGGAAGGCUUACCAUUGUCUGAUGGUAUGAAUGUGAUACUAGUGGUGGUUGAUCGUUUGCCAAUUAUGCUCAUUUUAUACCCCUACGUUGAAGGAAAUAUGCCCUAG
rnacentral:rRNA from 1 species